rnacentral:rRNA from 1 species
UACAGAGGUCUCACGCGUUGUUCGGAUUCAUUGGGCGUAAAGGGUGCGUAGGUGGUUGGGUAAGUCAAAUGUGAAAUCCCGGAGCUCAACUCCGGAACUGCAUUCGAUACUGUCCGGCUCGAGGAUUGGAGAGGAGACUGGAAUUCACGGUGUAGCAGUGAAAUGCGUAGAGAUCGUGAGGAACACCCGUGGCGAAGGCGGGUCUCUGGACAAUUCCUGACACUGAGGCACGAAGGCCAGGGGAGCAAACGGG